ensembl:snoRNA
AUGAAUGGUGUGUGUUUUAGCUGAAUUUAUAGACAAAGACUUAAAGGCAGAUGGAAAAAUCAAAUCCUCUUUUGCAACCCAGAACUCAUUGUUCAGUAUGUUUUGAAAUGUAAGAAAGAAUACG